rnacentral:rRNA from 1 species
UACGUAGGGUCCGAGCGUUGUCCGGAAUUACUGGGCGUAAAGAGCUCGUAGGUGGUUUGUCGCGUUGUUCGUGAAAACUCACAGCUCAACUGUGGGCGUGCGGGCGAUACGGGCAGACUGGAGUACUGCAGGGGAGACUGGAAUUCCUGGUGUAGCGGUGGAAGUGCGCAGAUAUCAGGAGGAACACCGGUGGCGAAGGCGGGUCUCUGGGCAGUAACUGACGCUGGAGGAGCGAAAGCGUGGGGAGCGAACAGG